rnacentral:rRNA from 1 species
AAUGGGGGGGCUUCGUAGGCUAAUCAUGAAGUGGACGGUGAAGCCCGUUUGCUGGGUGGAUUAGUGGCGGGCGGGUGAGUAACUCGUGAGUAACCUGCCCUUAACUCUGGGGUAAGCCUGGGAAACUGGGUCUAAUACCGGAUAGGAGCGUCCACCGCAUGGUGGGUGUUGGAAAGAUUUAUCGGUUUUGGAUGGACUCGCGGCCUAUCAGCUUGUUGGUGAGGUAAUGGCUCACCAAGGCGACGACGGGUAGCCGGCCUGAGAGGGUGACCGGCCACACUGGGACUGAGACACGGCCCAGACUCCUACGGGAGGCAGCAGUGGGGAAUAUUGCACAAUGGGCGCAAGCCUGAUGCAGCGACGCCGCGUGAGGGAUGACGGCCUUCGGGUUGUAAACCUCUUUCAGUAGGGAAGAAGCGAAAGUGACGGUACCUGCAGAAGAAGCACCGGCUAACUACGUGCCAGCAGCCGCGGUAAUACGUAGGGUGCGAGCGUUAUCCGGAAUUAUUGGGCGUAAAGAGCUCGUAGGCGGUUUGUCGCGUCUGUCGUGAAAGUCCGGGGCUUAACCCCGGAUCUGCGGUGGGUACGGGCAGACUAGAGUGCAGUAGGGGAGACUGGAAUUCCUGGUGUAGCGGUGGAAUGCGCAGAUAUCAGGAGGAACACCGAUGGCGAAGGCAGGUCUCUGGGCUGUAACUGACGCUGAGGAGCGAAAGCAUGGGGAGCGAACAGGAUUAGAUACCCUGGUAGUCCAUGCCGUAAACGUUGGGCACUAGGUGUGGGGACCAUUCCACGGUUUCCGCGCCGCAGCUAACGCAUUAAGUGCCCCGCCUGGUGAGUACCGCCCGUAACGCUAAAACCUCACAUGAAUUCACCUGUUGUCCCUCA